rnacentral:rRNA from 1 species
GUCAGCGACUUACAUUUUGUAGCAAGGUUAAGCGUGUAGCGAAGCCGAAGGGAAACCGAGUCUGAAUAGGGCGUGUCAUCAGUUUUUGCUGGUGGCUCAGUUGCAAGGUGUAGACCCGAAACCGAGCGAUCUAUCCAUGGUCAGGUUGAAGAUGGGGUAAAACCCAUUGGAGGACCGAACCCACUUAUGUUGAAAAAUGAGGGGAUGAACUGUGGAUAGGAGUGAAAGGCUAAACAAGCUCGGAGAUAGCUGGUUCUCCCCGAAAUCUAUUUAGGUAGAGCCUUAUGUAUCACUUACGGGGGUAGAGCACUGUUAUGGCUAGGGGGUCACACCGACUUACCAACCCAUUGCAAACUCCGAAUACCGUAAAGUGCAAUCAUAGGAGACAGACUGCGGGUGCUAACGUCCGUAGUCGAAAGGGAAACAACCCAGAUCGCCAGCUAAGGUCCCCAAACAUUACUCAGUGGGAAACGAAGUGGAAAGGCCCAGACAGCCAGGAGGUUGGCUUAGAAGCAGCCAUCCUUUAAAGAAAGCGUAAUAGCUCACUGGUCGAGUCGGUCUGCGCGGAAGAUUUACCGGGGCUAAGUAGUGUACCGAAGCUGCGAAUUCAGAGGACAGAUUAGAGAGGACAGAAGACAGAUGAAAGAACAACAAUCAAGCAACAUAAGAAGUUUUCAAGAUUUGGAAGUAUUUAACAAAGCAUACAAGAUUUCAUUAGAAAUUCACCAUGCUAGUCAACGAUUUCCAAAGCGAGAACAAUAUGGUGGCAUAGCAGACCAAAUCCGCAGAGCUAGCAAAGGCAUAUGUGCGAAUAUAGCCGAAGGUUUUGGUAAGCAAAGUAAUUCAACAGCAGAUUUCAAGCGUUAUCUAAUGAUGGCAAUUGGAAGUUCUGAUGAAGUACAGUUAUGGUCACAGUAUUGCUUAGAUUUAAACUAUAUCAACCAUAGCACAUCCGCUAACUGGCAAAAUGAAUACCAAGUCAUAGCCAAGAUGUUACAUGGAUUGCAUAAAGCAUGGAAAUAGUAUUUUUUUAUCUGUCUUCAGUCCUCUGUAAUCUGUCCUCUGGAUGGUAGGGGAGCGUUCUGUAGGCCGAUGAAGGUGUAUUGAGAAGUAUGCUGGAGGUAUCAGAAGUGCGAAUGCUGACAUGAGUAACGAUAAAGGGGGUGAAAAACCCCCUCGCCAAAAGCCCAAGGUUUCCUCGCGCAACGUUAAUCGGCGCAGGGUUAGUCGGCCCCUAAGGUGAGGCAGAAAUGCGUAAUCGAUGGGAAACUGGUUAAUAUUCCAGUACCUUGUUAUACUGCGAAGGAGGGACGGAGAAAGCUAAAUCAUCCAUGCGAUUGGUCGUCAUGGUUCAAGCAAGUAGGCAGAGAACUUAGGUAAAUCCGGGUUUUUAAUGCUGAGAUGCGAUGAGGGUACCCAAAUAUUGGGUCGAAGUGAUUGAUGCUCUGCUUCCAGGAAAAGCUUCUAAGCAUAGGUAUAACGAGACCGUACCGUAAACCAACACAGGUAGGCAAGAUGAGAAUUCUAAGGCGCUUGAGAGAACUCGGGUGAAGGAACUAGGCAAAAUGGUACCGUAACUUCGGGAGAAGGUACGCCCUUUUUUGUGAUGGGAUUUACUCCCUAAGCGAAAGAGGGUCUCAGAAACCAGGUGGCUGCGACUGUUUAUCAAAAACACAGCACUAUGCAAACACGAAAGUGGACGUAUAUGGUGUGACGCCUGCCCGGUGCCGGAAGGUUAAUUGAUGGGGUUCGUCUUCGGACAAAGCUCUUGAUCGAAGCCCCGGUAAACGGCGGCCGUAACUAUAACGGUCCUAAGGUAGCGAAAUUCCUUGUCGGGUAAGUUCCGACCUGCACGAAUGGCGUAACGACGGCCACACUGUCUCCACCCG